UCCGAUGCACUAAUUGUACA
rnacentral:siRNA from 1 species